rnacentral:rRNA from 1 species
GCUUGUUGUAAACGGCGGCGUUAACGUGAGCGUCCUAAGGUAGCGCGAUAAUUUGCUUUUCAAUUGAAGGAUGGUAUGAAAGGGUUAACGAAGAAGGUGCUGUGUCUAAAAAUUCAAUUUAAACUAACUUAAAGGUGAAGAGGCCUUUAUGUAAAAGAAGGACGACAAGACCCUAUGAAGCUUUAUCUUAAUUGGAGCUUUCAGGCUCUUAUACGAUUUUGAUGGGAGAUCAGUAGAAAUAAGUCCUCUACUAUUAUAUUAAUCUUACUAGUAUUUCCUAACUUUAUAUGUGUGACUAGCUACUCUAGGGAUAACAGCGCAAUUUCUCCCGAGAGAUGGUAUUGGAGGGGAAGAUUGCGACCUCGAUGUUGGCUUUAGAUACCCUAGAGGCGUAGAAGCUUCU